GAUGAACGCUGGCGGCGUGCCUAAUACAUGCAAGUCGAGCGAACAGACGAGGAGCUUGCUCCUCUGACGUUAGCGGCGGACGGGUGAGUAACACGUGGAUAACCUACCUAUAAGACUGGGAUAACUUCGGGAAACCGGAGCUAAUACCGGAUAAUAUAUUGAACCGCAUGGUUCAAUAGUGAAAGACGGUUUUGCUGUCACUUAUAGAUGGAUCCGCGCCGCAUUAGCUAGUUGGUAAGGUAACGGCUUACCAAGGCAACGAUGCGUAGCCGACCUGAGAGCGUGAUCGCCCACACUGGAACUGAGACACGGUCCAGACUCCUACGGGAGGCCGCAGUAGGGAAUCUUCCGCAAUGGGCGAAAGCCUGACAGAGCAACGCCGCGUGAGUGAUGAAGGUCUUCGGAUCGUAAAGCUCUGUUAUUAGGGAAGAACAAAUGUGUAAGUAACUAUGCACGUCUUGACGGUACCGAAUCAGAAAGCCACGGCUAACUACGUG
rnacentral:rRNA from 1 species